CCUACGGGAGGCAGCAGUCGAGAAUCAUUCACAAUGGGGGAAACCCUGAUGGUGCGACGCCGCGUGGGGGAAUGAAGGUCUUCGGAUUGUAAACCCCUGUCAUGUGGGAGCAAAUUAAAAAGAUAGUACCACAAGAGGAAGAGACGGCUAACUCUGUGCCAGCAGCCGCGGUAAUACAGAGGUCUCAAGCGUUGUUCGGAAUCACUGGGCGUAAAGCGUGCGUAGACUGUUUCGUAAGUCGUGUGUGAAAGGCGCGGGCUCAACCCGCGGACGGCACAUGAUACUGCGAGACUAGAGUAAGGGAGGGGGAACCGGAAUUCUCGGUGUAGCAGUGAAAUGCGUAGAUAUCGAGAGGAACACUCGUGGCGAAGGCGGGUUCCUGGACAUUAACUGACGCUGAGGCACGAAGGCCAGGGGAGCGAAAGGGAUUAGAUACCCCAGUAGUC
rnacentral:rRNA from 1 species